GCUCUCGCGUGGUCACCAUGGUCACGUGGAAAACUUUCGACUCCGGAACUAGUAUGGAAUUACAUUUGUGUCAAAUUAAACGCACGCAACUUUUGCAAAAACAAACAAAAAUAUACAUUGAUAAAAGAAAAAAACUAUCUGAAAAUAAAAACAAUCAACUAACUAGCAAAAAAAUUAACAUCAUCUUUAAAUAUACUGCAUUCUUUGUUUAUAGUUUUCUAAGUUUCACUUUCACUAAAUAUAGUUUUGAAUGUGCUGCAAAUGUUUUCGUUUUCACUUUCCAAUUUUUUGUUUGCGCUUCGCAAAUUUACGUUCUCCAUUUUGACACAAACCUCUCGUGAGGGGCGGGCUUAACAGCGGUUCGCUCUUAUUGGCUUGUGAGAUUUUGAUUGACAGCUCAUUGAACCGGAACCCCGGAACAGAAGGUGGCGGUAGUGCACCAAUAAGCUGGAUCCCAACCACUGUUAAAAAUAACAAGAAGAAGACGAUCGGACGCUGUUUAUCAGCGGAGCUGCAAGUAGUCUAAACAAACGGUAAUAAGAGUAUAUUAAAGAACAUUAUUGAUAAUACACGGAUAUUUUACACGUCAGCAGAGGAAUUACAAUAGUUCAAGAUGAGUAAUCGAGAGGCUCACGGUCCGGAGCACCAACACCAUCCUCCUCGGCCGGACAAUCGAGGCAGCCUGAGAAUUGAGCCUCUAUGGUGUGAUGUUUGGUCAGCUGUCUCUUGUACUAUGAAGAACUGCAAUGGAAGAAGAGACAGUGCUUGAUUCGGCAGGUGAACUGCACAUAUUUUAUGGUGGAGCAACUUUUUUAAGAGGAAAUUGUUGACAAUGUCACAGAGGAUGAUGGUGUGGUCGUGGUGCCAGAGAUCUAUUGUCCUUUGUCAGACCAAAAGCCUUUGAUAUCACCAUUGAAUGUCUAGGAGUUAUACCAACAGACACUUGAUGUCAUCCAAAGACUGUGCUCCAUUUAAAUUGUAAAAGUCAUUUUCAGGUUUACAAGAUACAAAAGCUGGUUCACAGAUGUACCUUUCCUUUAAAACUAUUUCCCACCUGUAACCACAAUGGAGACACAUCUCUGACUGCUGGGCUUCCCCUCUUAUUGUGUCCGGAUUCAUAUGCAUCUGCAGGGUUAUUCAUGGCAACACUUCAUAGCGUUGUGCUGGUAAUUUAUCUUUAUAUAUCAUGCCUUCUCACUACAUCUGUCAGCCUGUGCUUUACAUAUCUGAGAGUCAACGCAGCUAAACAUGAAGGACAAAUGCAAUGCAAGACGUUAUGCAUGUUAUAUAUCGGCAUAUGGAUGAUUAGAUUAGAAACUUUUGUGUGUUUAAACAUCACAUGACAUAGAAAAUUGACUGUCCUCCAUUUUCCUCCUUAGAUUUAAUUUGUACUUUAGACGUCAAUGGGUACACUCUCAUGUGUGCUUACCAUCAUUUAUCAAAAUAUCUUCUCAGCAGAAUAAAGAAACUUAAAUAGGUUUACAACAACAUGAGACUGAGUAAAUAAUAACAGAAUUUUCAUUUUUGUGUGAACUAUCCCUUUAAGACUCUGUAAACCAUUCAGAUGCAUGUAAAAUCAUUAACAACUGUUAAACAGCAUCUAUAAAUGAUAAAAAAGACAUUACUAUUGGGAGAAACAUUUUGUCUAGACAUUUGAGUUCAUUUCAACUGACACU